rnacentral:rRNA from 1 species
AUUGAACGCUGGCGGCAGGCCUAACACAUGCAAGUCGAGCGGAUGAAGGGAGCUUGCUCCUGGAUUCAGCGGCGGACGGGUGAGUAAUGCCUAGGAAUCUGCCUGGUAGUGGGGGAUAACGUCCGGAAACGGGCGCUAAUACCGCAUACGUCCUGAGGGAGAAAGUGGGGGAUCUUCGGACCUCACGCUAUCAGAUGAGCCUAGGUCGGAUUAGCUAGUUGGUGGGGUAAAGGCCUACCAAGGCGACGAUCCGUAACUGGUCUGAGAGGAUGAUCAGUCACACUGGAACUGAGACACGGUCCAGACUCCUACGGGAGGCAGCAGUGGGGAAUAUUGGACAAUGGGCGAAAGCCUGAUCCAGCCAUGCCGCGUGUGUGAAGAAGGUCUUCGGAUUGUAAAGCACUUUAAGUUGGGAGGAAGGGCAGUAAGUUAAUACCUUGCUGUCUUGACGUUACCAACAGAAUAAGCACCGGCUAACUUCGU